rnacentral:rRNA from 1 species
GACAGAGGGUGCAAACGUUGCUCGGAAUCACUGGGCGUAAAGGGCGUGUAGGCGGGAAGGAAAGUCAGAUGUGAAAUCCCUGGGCUCAACCCAGGAACUGCAUUUGAAACUCCCUUUCUUGAGUGCUGGAGAGGAAAGCGGAAUUCCUGGUGUAGAGGUGAAAUUCGUAGAUAUCAGGAGGAACACCAGUGGCGAAGGCGGCUUUCUGGACGGUAACUGACGCUGAGAACGCGAAAGCGUGGGGAGCAAACAGG